GGUUAAGCGACUAAGCGUACACGGUGGAUGCCCCGGCAGUCAGAGGCGAUGAAGGACGUGCUAAUCUGCGAUAAGCGUCGGUAAGGUGAUAUGAACCGUUAUAACCGGCGAUUUCCGAAUGGGGAAACCCAGUGUGGCUAAUCUGCGAUAAGCGUCGGUAAGGUGAUAUGAACCGUUAUAACCGGCGAUUUCCGAAUGGGGAAACCCAGUGUGAUUCGUCACACUAUCAUUAACUGAAUCCAUAGGUUAAUGAGGCGAACCGGGGGAACUGAAACAUCUAAGUACCCCGAGGAAAAGAAAUCAACCGAGAUUCCCCCAGUAGCGGCGAGCGAACGGGGAGGAGCCCAGAGCCUGAAUCAGUGUGUGUGUUAGUGGAAGCGUAUGGAAAGGCGCGCGAUACAGGGUGACAGCCCCGUACACAAAAAUGCACAUACUGUGAGCUCGAUGAGUAGGGCGGGACACGUGGUAUCCUGUCUGAAUAUGGGGGGACCAUCCUCCAAGGCUAAAUACUCCUGACUGACCGAUAGUGAACCAGUACCGUGAGGGAAAGGCGAAAAGAACCCCGGCGAGGGGAGUGAAAAAGAACCUGAAACCGUGUACGUACAAGCAGUGGGAGCACAGAGCAAUCUGUGUGACUGCGUACCUUUUGUAUAAUGGGUCAGCGACUUAUAUUCUGUAGCAAGGUUAACCGAAUAGGGGAGCCGAAGGGAAACCGAGUCUUAACUGGGCGUUAAGUUGCAGGGUAUAGACCCGAAACCCGGUGAUCUAGCCAUGGGCAGGUUGAAGGUUGGGUAACACUAACUGGAGGACCGAACCGACUAAUGUUGAAAAAUUAGCGGAUGACUUGUGGCUGGGGGUGAAAGGCCAAUCAAACCGGGAGAUAGCUGGUUCUCCCCGAAAGCUAUUUAGGUAGCGCCUCGUGAAUUCAUCUCCGGGGGUAGAGCACUGUUUCGGCAAGGGGGUCAUCCCGACUUACCAACCCGAUGCAAACUGCGAAUACCGGAGAAUGUUAUCACGGGAGACACACGGCGGGUGCUAACGUCCGUCGUGAAGAGGGAAACAACCCAGACCGCCAGCUAAGGUCCCAAAGUCAUGGUUAAGUGGGAAACGAUGUGGGAAGGCCCAGACAGCCAGGAUGUUGGCUUAGAAGCAGCCAUCAUUUAAAGAAAGCGUAAUAGCUCACUGGUCGAGUCGGCCUGCGCGGAAGAUGUAACGGGGCUAAACCAUGCACCGAAGCUGCGGCAGCGACGCUUAUGCGUUGUUGGGUAGGGGAGCGUUCUGUAAGCCUGUGAAGGUGUGCUGUGAGGCAUGCUGGAGGUAUCAGAAGUGCGAAUGCUGACAUAAGUAACGAUAAAGCGGGUGAAAAGCCCGCUCGCCGGAAGACCAAGGGUUCCUGUCCAACGUUAAUCGGGGCAGGGUGAGUCGACCCCUAAGGCGAGGCCGAAAGGCGUAGUCGAUGGGAAACAGGUUAAUAUUCCUGUACUUGGUGUUACUGCGAAGGGGGGACGGAGAAGGCUAUGUUGGCCGGGCGACGGUUGUCCCGGUUUAAGCGUGUAGGCUGGUUUUCCAGGCAAAUCCGGAAAAUCAAGGCUGAGGCGUGAUGACGAGGCACUACGGUGCUGAAGCAACAAAUGCCCUGCUUCCAGGAAAAGCCUCUAAGCAUCAGGUAACAUCAAAUCGUACCCCAAACCGACACAGGUGGUCAGGUAGAGAAUACCAAGGCGCUUGAGAGAACUCGGGUGAAGGAACUAGGCAAAAUGGUGCCGUAACUUCGGGAGAAGGCACGCUGAUAUGUAGGUGAAGUCCCUCGCGGAUGGAGCUGAAAUCAGUCGAAGAUACCAGCUGGCUGCAACUGUUUAUUAAAAACACAGCACUGUGCAAACACGAAAGUGGACGUAUACGGUGUGACGCCUGCCCGGUGCCGGAAGGUUAAUUGAUGGGGUUAGCGGUAACGCGAAGCUCUUGAUCGAAGCCCCGGUAAACGGCGGCCGUAACUAUAACGGUCCUAAGGUAGCGAAAUUCCUUGUCGGGUAAGUUCCGACCUGCACGAAUGGCGUAAUGAUGGCCAGGCUGUCUCCACCCGAGACUCAGUGAAAUUGAACUCGCUGUGAAGAUGCAGUGUACCCGCGGCAAGACGGAAAGACCCCGUGAACCUUUACUAUAGCUUGACACUGAACAUUGAGCCUUGAUGUGUAGGAUAGGUGGGAGGCUUAGAAGUGUGGACGCCAGUCUGCAUGGAGCCGGCCUUGAAAUACCACCCUUUAAUGUUUGAUGUUCUAACGUUGGCCCCUGAUCGGGGUUGCGGACAGUGUCUGGUGGGUAGUUUGACUGGGGCGGUCUCCUCCUAAAGAGUAACGGAGGAGCACGAAGGUUGGCUAAUCCUGGUCGGACAUCAGGAGGUUAGUGCAAUGGCAUAAGCCAGCUUGACUGCGAGCGUGACGGCGCGAGCAGGUGCGAAAGCAGGUCAUAGUGAUCCGGUGGUUCUGAAUGGAAGGGCCAUCGCUCAACGGAUAAAAGGUACUCCGGGGAUAACAGGCUGAUACCGCCCAAGAGUUCAUAUCGACGGCGGUGUUUGGCACCUCGAUGUCGGCUCAUCACAUCCUGGGGCUGAAGUAGGUCCCAAGGGUAUGGCUGUUCGCCAUUUAAAGUGGUACGCGAGCUGGGUUUAGAACGUCGUGAGACAGUUCGGUCCCUAUCUGCCGUGGGCGCUGGAGAACUGAGGGGGGCUGCUCCUAGUACGAGAGGACCGGAGUGGACGCAUCACUGGUGUUCGGGUUGUCAUGCCAAUGGCACUGCCCGGUAGCUAAAUGCGGAAGAGAUAAGUGCUGAAAGCAUCUAAGCACGAAACUUGCCCCGAGAUGAGUUCUCCCUGACUCCUUGAGAGUCCUGAAGGAACGUUGAAGACGACGACGUUGAUAGGCCGGGUGUGUAAGCGCAGCGAUGCGUUGAGCUAACCGGUACUAAUGAACCGUGAGGCUUAACCUU
rnacentral:rRNA from 1 species